rnacentral:misc_RNA from 1 species
GAUGAAGAACGCAGCGAAAUGCGAUAAGUAAUGUGAAUUGCAGAAUUCAGUGAAUCAUCGAAUCUUUGAACGCACCUUGCGCUCCUUGGCAUUCCGAGGAGCAUGCCUGUUUGAGUGUCAUUAAAUUCUCAAGACCUGUCUGCUUUUUUGAUAGGUAUUGGAUUUUGGGGGUUGCAGGCUGUUUCAAAUAAAUAGCCUUGCUCUCCUUGAAUGUAUUAGUGGAGAAAAGCCAUUGAACUCCAUUGGUGUGAUAAAACCUAUCAAUGCCAGGAGCAAUAUCACUACUUCUCUCUGCUGUCUAACUGUGACUGUCUGUAUUAAUUAGUAUGGAUGGGGACAACUUGACCAACUUGACCUCACAUCAGGUAGGACUACCCGCUGAACUUAAGCAUAUCAAUAAGCGGAGGA